rnacentral:siRNA from 1 species
UUAUAUGGUGGUUGUAUUUGA